CCAAGACAAGUGGAUCACGGAUCCCAACAUUCGCCCCAAGCUAAAAUGAAGUUUCAACAAAUUCAAGAAGCAUAUUCAGUUUUAUCCGACAAGGGAAAGAGAUCAAUCUAUGAUGCUGGAUUUCUUGACCUCCUCGGAGACCAGAGAACAGUUUGGAGGAUCUUCAGAGGCUAUUAAUGGACAUGGUGAUUGGUGGAUGGCACUGAAACAGCAGGAUUUCCUUCUGAAUUCAGUGAAUCUCGUCAGGGAGCAGGGGAGCACCCAAAAAAAAAAAAAAAGAAGAAGAAGAAUGGCUUCUCUUUAAUUUUUCCGU